GCCAUGGCUCAGUGGCAGAGCAUCUGCUCGGCAUGCAGAAGGUCCCAGCUUCGAUCUCUGCCAUCUCCA
rnacentral:tRNA from 1 species